rnacentral:rRNA from 1 species
GAUGAACGCUGGCGGCGUGCCUAAUACAUGCAAGUCGAGCGAACAGACGAUGAGCUUGCUCCUCUGACGUUAGCGGCGGACGGGUGAGUAACACGUGGAUAACCUACCUAUAAUACGGGUAUAACUUCGGGAAACCGGAUCUAAUACCGGAGAAUAUAUUGAACCACAUGGUUCAAUAGUGAAAUACGGUUGUGCUGUCACUUAUAGAGGGAUCCGCGCCGCAUUAGCUAGUUGGUAGGGUAACGGGUUACCAAGGCAACGAUGCGUAGCCGACGUGAGGGGGUGAUCGCCGACACUGGAACUGAGCCACGGUCCAGACUCCUACGGGAGGCAGCAGUAGGGUAUCUUACGCAAUGGGCGAAAGUUUGACGGAGCAACGCCGCGUGAGUGAUGACGGUCUUCGGAUCGUAAUACUCUCUUACUAGUGAAGAACAAAUGUGUACGUAAAUAUGCCCGUCUUGACGGUAACUAAUCAGAAAGCAACGGCUAACUACGUG